rnacentral:rRNA from 1 species
ACUCCUACGGGAGGCAGCAGUGGGGAAUUUUGGACAAUGGGGGAAACCCUGAUCCAGCAAUGCCGCGUGUGCGAAGAAGGCCUUCGGGUUGUAAAGCACUUUUGUCAGGGAAGAAAUCCUUUGGGCUAAUACCCUAGGGGGAUGACGGUACCUGAAGAAUAAGCACCGGCUAACUACGUGCCAGCAGCCGCGGUAAUACGUAGGGUGCAAGCGUUAAUCGGAAUUACUGGGCGUAAAGCGUGCGCAGGCGGUUGUGUAAGACAGGUGUGAAAUCCCCGGGCUUAACCUGGGAAUUGCAUUUGUGACUGCACGACUAGAGUGUGUCAGAGGGGGGUGGAAUUCCACGUGUAGCAGUGAAAUGCGUAGAUAUGUGGAGGAACACCAAUGGCGAAGGCAGCCCCCUGGGAUAACACUGACGCUCAUGCACGAAAGCGUGGGGAGCAAACAGGAUUAGAUACCCUGGUAGUCCACGCCCUAAACGAUGUCAACUAGUUGUUGGGGAUUUACUUCCUUGGUAACGUAGCUAACGCGUGAAGUUGACCGCCUGGGGAGUACGGCCGCAAGGUUAAAACUCAAAGGAAUUGACGGGGACCCGCACAAGC